rnacentral:lncRNA from 1 species
AUAAGUGGCCACAUUCUUUUCGGCACGGAGAUUAAGAAAUUGAGUGUUAUAUGUUUUAAUAGAGUGUGGCCUACAAUUGUUGACCAAAUUAGUGAGUAAUUGUUGACUUAAUUAAAGUAAUUUUGUCAUUUUUAGAAAGUGGCCUACAAUUGUUGACCAAAUUAGUGAGCAAUUGUUGACUUAAUUAAAGUAAACUUUUGCCAUUUUUAGAAAGCAGCCACUUAUAGUGGGACAGACGAAAA